rnacentral:rRNA from 1 species
GACGAACGCUGGCGGCGUGCCUAAUACAUGCAAGUCGAACGCUGAAGCGAGGAGCUUGCUCUUCUUGGAUGAGUUGCGAACGGGUGAGUAACGCGUAGGUAACCUGCCUUGUAGCGGGGGAUAACUAUUGGAAACGGUAGCUAAUACCGCAUAACAAUGGAUGACACAUGUCAUUUAUUUGAAAGACGCAAUUGUUCCACUACAUGAUGGACCUGCGUUUUAUUAGCUAGUAGGUUAGGUAAAGGCUCAACUAGGGCAAGAUACCUUGGCCAACCUGAGAGGGUAACCGCCCACCCGGGACUGAGACAAGGCCCAGACUUCCACGGGAGGCAGCAGUAGGGAAACCUCGGCAAUGGGGGGAACGCUGAACGGGGAACGCCGGGUGGGGGAAGGAGGGUCUCGGAUUGUAAAGCUCUGUUGUUAGGGAAGGACGGGUGUGAGAGUUGAAAGUUCACACUUUGACGGUAGCUAACCAGAAAGGGACGGCUAACUACGUG